rnacentral:rRNA from 1 species
AGAGUUUGAUCCUGGCUCAGGAUGAACGCUAGCUACAGGCUUAACACAUGCAAGUCGAGGGGAAACGACAUCGAAAGCUUGCUUUUGAUGGGCGUCGACCGGCGCACGGGUGAGUAACGCGUAUCCAACCUGCCCAUCACUUGGGGAUAACCUUGCGAAAGUAAGACUAAUACCCAAUGACGUCUCUAGAAGACAUCUGAAAGAGAUUAAAGAUUUAUCGGUGAUGGAUGGGGAUGCGUCUGAUUAGGCUUGUUGGCGGGGUAACGGCCACCAAGGCGACGAUCAGUAGGGGUUCUGGAGAGGAAGGUCCCCCANAUUGGAACUGAGACACGGUCCAAACUCCUACGGGAGCA